GUUCUAUAUUUACACCUAACCCACCAUAUGACACCUAGCCAUGCAUGACUAAGCAUGAAAGAAAAGAGUUGUCAUUCAUUUGGUCCAUCAUUGCCGUGGCUACACCAAAAGGAAAGAGAAAAAGCUUUUGCUUUCUUAUCUUCCAUUUCCACCAUAGUUCAUCAAAAAGAUAAAAUCUCCAGCCACACAAAAUCUGUUCUUAAGUGUAAUAACCAGCAAGGAAACCAUAGAAAGGGAGGAAAGAAGGAGAGAAGUUAAGGUGCUUUAGUGAACAAACUCAAAGGGAGGAAGGUACAUCAAAGGGGAAAGGCAAGGAAAGAGAGUAACUAAGGUGUACCUAAAGCUUUUGAAAAGAUUGUGCAAAAGGUAAUAGAUAGAGGAAGCAACAGUUAGGAGGUCUGGUUCUGCAUCAGCACAGAGACAUCAUCAUAACCAGUCAGUCACAAGAUUUGUACAGAGGUUGUUUAUGGUUGGCAUGUACAUUAAUAGUCUACCAAGAGUCUGUA